AGCAGCCGCGGUAAUUCCAGCUCCAAUAGCGUAUAUUAAAGUUGUUGCAAGUUAAAAGCUCGUAGUUGAAUUUCGAGAUCAGUACGCUGGUCGUGCCUUCGGUAUGUACUGGUGUCACUGGUUUCUCCCUUCUGAAGAACCGUUAUGUCAUUAAGUUGGUGUGGCGGGGAAUCAGGACUGUUACUUUGAAAAAUUAGAGUGUUUAAAGCAGGCUCGCGCUUGAAUACAUUAGCAUGGAAUAAUGGAAUAGGACGUUUGACCCUAUUUUGUUGGUUUCUAGGAUCGACGUAAUGAUUAAUAGGGAUAGUUGGGGGCAGUUAGUAUUCAAUUGUCAGAGGUGAAAUUCUUGGAUUUAUUGAAGACUAACUACUGCGAAAGCAAUUUGCCAAGGAUGUUUUCAUUAAUCAAGAACGAAAGUUAGGGGAUCGAAGACGAUCAGAUACCGUCGUAGUCUUAACCAUAAACUAUAGCCGACUAGGGAUCGGAUGAUGUUAAUUUUUAAUGUAACUCA
rnacentral:rRNA from 1 species